rnacentral:rRNA from 1 species
UACAGAGGGGGCAAGCGUUGUUCGGAAUUACUGGGCGUAAAGGGCGCGUAGGCGGCCUGCUAAGUCGAACGUGAAAUCCCCGGGCUCAACCCGGGAACUGCGUCCGAUACUGGUUGGCUUGAAUUCGGGAGAGGGAUGCGGAAUUCCAGGUGUAGCGGUGAAAUGCGUAGAUAUCUGGAGGAACACCGGUGGCGAAGGCGGCAUCCUGGACCGGCAUUGACGCUGAGGCGCGAAAGCCAGGGGAGCAAACAGG